AUCGCUUCUCAGCCUUUUGGCUAAGAUCAAGUGAAGUAUUUUAACAUUUAAGGGUCAAAUUAUCAACCAACGUUUGAAAAAGUGGAAUGAUAUUUAUUUAAAGAUAUGCUAUCCAAGCUUGUCCAUAUCUCUU
rnacentral:snRNA from 1 species